rnacentral:rRNA from 1 species
CUACGGGCCGCUGCAGUGAGGAAUAUUGCACAAUGGGGGGAACCCUGAUGCAGCAACGCCGCGUGGAGGAUGACGCAUUUCGGUGUGUAAACUCCUUUUAUAUGUCAAGAAAAUGACGGUAGCAUAUGAAUAAGCACCGGCUAACUCCGUGCCAGCAGCCGCGGUAAUACGGAGGGUGCAAGCGUUACUCGGAAUCACUGGGCGUAAAGGACGCGUAGGCGGGCUUGUAAGUCAGGUGUGAAAUCCUACAGCUUAACUGUAGAACUGCACUUGAAACUACGAGCCUAGAGUAUGGGAGGGGGAGAUGGAAUUGUGGUGUAGGGGUAAAAUCCGUAGAUAUCACUAGGAAUACCUAAAGCGAAGGCGAUCUCCUGGAACAUUACUGACGCUAAGGCGUGAAAGCGUGGGGAGCAAACAGGAUUAGAUACCCGCGUAGUC